GAUGAACGCUGGCGGCGUGCCUAAUACAUGCAAGUCGAGCGAACGGACGAGAAGCUUGCUUUUCUGAUGUUAGCGGCGGACGGGUGAGUAACACGUGGAUAACCUACCUAUAAGACUGGGAUAACUUCAGGAAACCGGAGCUAAUACCGGAUAAUAUUUUGAACCGCAUGGUUCAAAAGUGAAAGACGGUCUUGCUGUCACUUAUAGAUGGAUCCGCGCUGCAUUAGCUAGUUGGUAAGGUAACGGCUUACCAAGGCAACGAUGCAUAGCCGACCUGAGAGGGUGAUCGGCCACACUGGAACUGAGACACGGUCCAGACUCCUACGGGAGGCAGCAGUAGGGAAUCUUCCGCAAUGGGCGAAAGCCUGACGGAGCAACGCCGCGUGGGUGAUGAAGGUCUUCGGAUCGUAAAACUCUGUUAUUAGGGAAGAACAUAUGUGUAAGUAACUGUGCACAUCUUGACGGUACCUAAUCAGAAAGCCACGGCUAACUACGUG
rnacentral:rRNA from 1 species